rnacentral:rRNA from 1 species
CGAUUAAGCCAUGCAAGUCGAGAGGGUUCGGCCCUCGGCGUACUGCUCAGUAACACGUGGAUAACCUGCCCUUGGGUCUGGGAUAACCCCGGGAAACUGGGGAUAAUACCGGAUAACGCAUAUGUGCUGGAAUGCUUUAUGCGUAAAACGGAUUCGUCCGCCCAAGGAUGGGUCUGCGGCCUAUCAGGUAGUAGUGGGUGUAAUGUACCUACUAGCCAACAACGGGUCCGGGUUGUGAGAGCAAGAGCCCGGAGAUGGAUUCUGAGACAUGAAUCCAGGCCCUACGGGGCGCAGCAGGCGCGAAAACUUUACAAUGCGGGAAACCGUGAUAAGGGAACACCGAGUGCCAGCAUCAUAUGCUGGCUGUCCAGAUGUGUAAACUACAUCUGUUAGCAAGGGCCGGGCAAGACCGGUGCCAGCCGCCGCGGUAACACCGGCGGCCCGAGUGGUGACCGUUAUUAUUGGGUCUAAAGGGUCCGUAGCCGGUUUGGUCAGUCCUCCGGGAAAUCUGAUAGCUUAACUGUUAGGCUUUCGGGGGAUACUGCCAGGCUUGGAACCGGGAGAGGUAAGAGGUACUACAGGGGUAGGAGUGAAAUCUUGUAAUCCCUGUGAGACCACCUGUGGCGAAGGCGUCUUACCAGAACGGGUUCGACGGUGAGGGACGAAAGCUGGGGGCACGAACCGGAUUAGAUACCCGGGUAGUCCCAGCCGUAAACUAUGCUCGCUAGGUGUCAGGCAUGGCGCGACCGUGUCUGGUGCCGCAGGGAAGCCGUGAAGCGAGCCACCUGGGAAGUACGGCCGCAAGGCUGAAACUUAAAGGAAUUGGCGGGGGAGCA